rnacentral:misc_RNA from 1 species
UUAAGUUCAGCGGGUAUUCCUACCUGAUCCGAGGUCAACCUUAGAAAGGGGGGUCUCUUUCCCACCACCGAAAUGGCGGAGAAGAGGGCGACCGGGGCCUCGAGUCCCUAAUCCGAUACAUGCCCAGGGGCUCAGCGUACCGGGGUCCAACGAGGCCACCGUCAUUAUCUUUAGGAGGGGUCGAUUCGCGUCGACCAAGG